CAAAUCAGGUAGGAUUACCCGCUGAACUUAAGCAUAUCAAUAAGCGGAGGAAAAGAAACUAACAAGGAUUCCCCUAGUAACUGCGAGUGAAGCGGGAAAAGCUCAAAUUUGUAAUCUGGCGGUCUUUGGCCGUCCGAAUUGUAAACUAGAGAAGUGUUAUCCGCGCUGGACCGUGUACAAGUCCCCUGGAAUGGGGCGUCAUAGAGGGUGAGAAUCCCGUCUUUGACACGGACUACCAGGGCUAUGUGAUGCGCUCUCAAAGAGUCGAGUUGUUUGGGAAUGCAGCUCAAAAUGGGUGGUAAAUUCCAUCUAAAGCUAAAUAUUGGCGAGAGACCGAUAGCGAACAAGUACCGUGAGGGAAAGAUGAAAAGAACUUUGGAAAGAGAGUUAAACAGUACGUGAAAUUGCUGAAAGGGAAACGCUUGAAGUCAGUCGCGUUAGCGAGGGAUCAGCCUUACUUUUGUGGGGUGUACUUCCUCGUUGAUGGGUCAGCAUCAGUUUUGGCUGCUGGAUAAAGGCUAGGGGAAUGUGGCAUCUUCGGAUGUGUUAUAGCCCCUGGUUGGAUACAGUGGCUGGGACUGAGGAACUCAGCACGCGCAAGUUGUGCUUAGGAUGCUGGCAAAAUGGCUUUAAUCGACCCGUCUUGAAACACGGACC
rnacentral:rRNA from 1 species